CACAGAUUUAAAGAAAAAAUAAAAAAUAAAACAGUUUCAAGUUGCAUUAAGCCACGCUCCCCAAAGGAAAACCCAAACCUUCGUUCAUUCCACAGUGAAACCCCUACACUUAUUUCCACCCCUUUCCCCUACGCGGUGGCAGCUCCUAGCAGGGCACCAAAACUUUUUCCCUCGCCUCUCUUCAGCGCCAGCAUCCUUCCCAGCGCUCUGGCUCCGGAGCACGCCGCUGGGAGGCGGCUGCAGGAGGGAAUAUUGAAUCCUGGAGCCCGAGCCCGUCCUGGCCCUCGGCGGGGGCUGCGGGGGCACUUACCCGGCGUAGCGGCCGCGGUGGGCGCGGAGCGGCAGCGCAGCCUGGAGGCAGAGCAGACAAAGGAGGGGCAGGAGGGCGGCGGGGAGCCGGCGGGGCGGCAUGAUGAGGGGUCGGGAGUGGGACCAGGACCGGGACCGGGACCGGGACAUGCGACCCGGGACCCUGCCCGGGUGGCGGCCACCGCGCACACAAAGCCGGCGCGGAGCGGAGCGGAGGCGGGGGCCGGGGAGGAGCGGAGCGGAGCGGGGGGCGCGGGGGGGAGAAGGCAGCGGGGAGAGGGGGGAGGAUGGCGCCGGGAGGGCUGGGCUGGGGGUGUCCUCCCCAUGUCCUGGGGGUGUCCUCUCCUCGGUCUGGGAGUCCCCUCCCUCGGUCUGGGGGUGCCGCCGCUGCAGGUGCCUCGCCACAGCCCCCUCGGGAGACGGAGGGGGUAGCUGGGUGUGCGGGGUCAUUAAAGACGUUGGCCCUCUAACUUCGUGGAGGAUUGGAUUGGUUUUGCAGAUGGCGAUACUAAGGUAUAUGGGGAGGCUGAAUGAUUUGUCCCAGAUGAAAGAGCAAGUCUUUGGCAACUGUAAAUCUACAAUUUGGGUCUCCUGGCAAUAACUGCUGGAACAUUUGCCAUGAGUAAGUUUGUAUUUUCAAGACUGUAUUUUUAAUCUAAAAGGCAAACAUAGUUCUGUGAGUCCCAAACUUGUCUAAGCAUACUCAGGGU
rnacentral:lncRNA from 1 species